rnacentral:snRNA from 1 species
UCACUUACCUGGACGGGGUCAACACUUGAUCAAGAAGACCAGUGGCCUAGGCUAGUGACCUUCACUGCACACUAAGGAAGGGUGCUUAGUCUAAAGUCCCCCAUGUGGGAGAGCCUGCGUUUGC